rnacentral:rRNA from 1 species
UUACAAUGAAGAGUUUGAUCCUGGCUCAGGAUGAACGCUAGCUACAGGCUUAACACAUGCAAGUCGAGGGGCAGCAUGGUCUUAGCUUGCUAAGGCCGAUGGCGACCGGCGCACGGGUGAGUAACACGUAUCCA